rnacentral:rRNA from 1 species
UACAGAGGUGGCAAGCGUUUGUUCGGAAUUACUGGGCGUAAAGGGCGCGUAGGCGGCCAUCUAAGUCAGACGUGAAAUCCCCCGGCUUAACCUGGGAACUGCGUCUGAUACUGGAAGGCUUGAGUAUGGGAGAGGGAUGUAGAAUUCCAGGUGUAGCGGUGAAAUGCGUAGAUAUCUGGAGGAAUACCGGUGGCGAAGGCGGCAUCCUGGACCAUUACUGACGCUGAGGCGCGAAAGCUAGGGGAGCAAACGGG